rnacentral:rRNA from 2 species
GUCCUCUUGAUAAUAUUAUGAGGUCCGGCCUGCUCACUGACGAGGUUUAUUAAAGAGCCGCGGUAAUUUGACCGUGCAAAGGUAGCAUAAUCAUUAGUCUCUUAAUUAGGGGCUGGAAUGAAUGGCUUGACGAGAAAUCAACUGUCUCUUGAUAAAUUUUUGAAUUUAACUUUUGAGUCAAAAGGCUUAAAUUUUUCUUAAGGACGAGAAGACCCUAUAGAGCUUGACAUUUUAUUUAUAUAUAAUUUUUAGUUAGUCUUUUUAUAUUUAUUGAUGAUGUUUUGUUGGGGUGACAUGAAAAAUAAUUAAACUCUUCAUUAUUAAAUCAUUGAUUUAUGUAUAAAUGAUGAUCCAUAAUUUAUGAUCAUAAGAUUAAGUUACCUUAGGGAUAACAGCGUAAUUAUUUUCGAGAGCUCAUAUCGACAAAUUAGAUUUCGACCUCGAUGUUGGAUUAAGAAAAAUUUUGGGUGCAGGAGCCCAGUGAUUAGGUCUGUUCGACCUUUAAAUUCUU